UCUUCUUUCUCUCCAGCCAGUCGCUAGUAUCCCUUAGGCCCCGACGAUACCGUCCUCCGCAACGCGGUUUGCGUCCCACCCCUCGCAAAUCAUUGGUACUCGCUAUAGUCCCGUGACAGUCACUCUGAUGUCUCAUUUGAUUAAUUGUCUGCCAAUCACCUGGACCUACUAAACGUAGCGUUUGUCCCGCCUUUCUAACGUCCCUUUACUGAUUGGACAGUUUCCUUUGAUGACAACGCGGACAAUGAAGAGAUGUGUCGGAACUCCGCUUACGUAUUGGUUGUCUUGACUGUCAAUCCGAGUUGCAGUCCGAGGAAAAGACCCUGUUAUCGUCGACUCGCCAUUUAAUAAACGGUCUCGCUGAGAUGACAAAAAAAGUUGUCUUUUCUUAACAAGGAGCUUCUUACGCUUUCUGCAUUGUUUUCAUCAUGGUGAAUGAUAAGAGGAAACAUAUUAGCAGCUUUACUGAACACACUGAGGAAUUCGAUUGUUCAACCAGCAAUAUGUUCCACCAAGAGCUAAAAACUGCAAAUGAUGCCCUUUCAGGAUGGCAUGAGAAAAAUAUUGCAUCACUGGAUGAUCAAAGGAGAGAAGACAUUUGUCAAGGGUAUAUGGGCUCCAAUGUUAGCGAUGCUAUGUGAGUGGGUUGUUGACGCCCAGGAUGAAAACAGAAUGGAGGUUGUUAAAUCAUUCAAGAAAUGUGGGAUAUGAAGUGCACUCGAUGGCUCAGAAAAAGAUAAAUUGCGGAAUGAUAUGGCUGAUGACGACGUGAUUGCUAAUAUUGAUGAUGGUCCAUAUGAUGAUGAAAUUGAAGAAGCCGAUUGGGAUGAGUUAUUUGGUUCUGGAGUCAAGGAGGAAGAUGAUUUCUAUGGAUAUUAAUACAUACUCGGAGCAUGCCCUGCUGAAUAGUAUAUUUUUGUAUUGUGAAAAAUCUAAUUGAAAUGUUGUAAAUAUGUACAUAAAGUUUUUGUCUUUGAAUUUGAAUUUAGUAUGCAGAAAUGAAUGUCAGACUCCAUGAAAAUAUUUCUUAAAUAAAAGAAAUCAAUAAUA